CACACACAUACAGCAUGGAUUUGAUUCUCCUGGGCCAGCGAGAAGAGCAACGCCAAGGACACACAGAGGAAAAGACAGACACAUGGAUGAAAAGGCAAAGUGAAGACAGAGCAAAGCCGUCCAAGCCAAGGAAUGCUGAUGGCACUAGAAGCUGGAAGAGGCAAGAAAGGAGCCUCUCCUAGGGCCUUCAGAGGGAGCGUGGCCCUGCUGACACUGCCGACACCUGGAUUUCGACUUCUGGCCUCCAGAACUGAAGGACCAUGUAAGAACAAAGCAAGAAGGCAGCCAUCUAUCUACAGGCCAGGAAGAGAGACCUCACCACAACGCAACCAUGCCGGCACCCUGA